UACGUAGGGUGCAAGCGUUAAUCGGAAUUACUGGGCGUAAAGCGUGCGCAGGCGGUGAUGUAAGACAGAUGUGAAAUCCCCGGGCUCAACCUGGGAACUGCGUUUGUGACUGUAUGACUAGAGUACGGUAGAGAGGGGUGGAAUUCCUGGUGUAGCAGUGAAAUGCGUAGAUAUCAGGAGGAACAUCGAUGGCGAAGGCAGCCCCUUGGACCUGUACUGACGCUCAUGCACGAAAGCGUGGGGAGCAAACAGG
rnacentral:rRNA from 1 species